AUUGAACGCUGGCGGCAUGCUUUACACAUGCAAGUCGAACGGUAACAGGCCGCAAGGUGCUGACGAGUGGCGAACGGGUGAGUAAUGCAUCGGAACGUGCCCAGUCGUGGGGGAUAACGCAGCGAAAGCUGUGCUAAUACAGCAUACGAUCUAUGGAUGAAAGAGGGGGACCGUAAGGCCUCGCGCGAUUGGAGCGGCCGAUGUCAGAUUAGGUAGUUGGUGGGGUAAAGGCUCACCAAGCCCACGAUCUGUAGCUAGUCUGAGAGGACGACCAGCCACACUGGGACUGAGACACCGUCCAGACUCCUACGGGAGUCAGCAGUGUGUAAUUUUGGACAAUGGGCGCAAGCCUUAUCCAGCAAUGCCGCGUGCAGGAAGAAGGCCUUCGGGUUGUAAACUGCUUUUGUACGGAACGAAAAGGUUUGGGUUAAUACCCUGGGCCGAUGACGGUACCGUAAGAAUAAGCACCGGCUAACUACGUGCCAGCCGCCGCGGUAA
rnacentral:rRNA from 1 species